rnacentral:rRNA from 1 species
UUGACCUCGGAUCAGGUAGGGAUACCCGCUGAACUUAAGCAUAUCAAUAAGCGGAGGAAAAGAAACCAACAGGGAUUGCCCCAGUAACGGCGAGUGAAGCGGCAAGAGCUCAAAUUUGAAAGCUGGCUCCUUCGGGGUCCGCAUUGUAAUUUGCAGAGGAUGCUUCGGGAGCGGUCCCCAUCUAAGUGCCCUGGAACGGGACGUCAUAGAGGGUGAGAAUCCCGUAUGGGAUGGGGUGUCCGCGCCCGUGUGAAGCUCCUUCGACGAGUCGAGUUGUUUGGGAAUGCAGCUCUAAAUGGGUGGUAAAUUUCAUCUAAAGCUAAAUAUUGGCCGGAGACCGAUAGCGCACAAGUAGAGUGAUCGAAAGAUGAAAAGCACUUUGAAAAGAGAGUUAAAAAGCACGUGAAAUUGUUGAAAGGGAAGCGCUUGCGACCAGACUCGCUCGCGGGGUUCAGCCGGCAUUCGUGCCGGUGUACUUCCCCGCGGGCGGGCCAGCGUCGGUUUGGGUGGUCGGUCAAAGGCCCUCGGAAGGUAACGCCCCCUCGGGGGCGUCUUAUAGCCGAGGGUGCAAUGCGACCUGCCUGGACCGAGGAACGCGCUUCGGCUCGGACGCUGGCAUAAUGGUCGUAAGCGACC